CGCAAUUUUAGUGCGGCCUCCGAGUGUUAGGUCUGUAUUGUUGCCACCUGGAACGCUGGUGUAUCCAUACACCAGUGGGCUCAGGGUGGGGACUGGGAUCACCCCCGCCGGCCCAGAGGGGGGGACAAGGCCGGACCCCCUCAGCCUCAUGCUUCGUUCAGACCUCUGGUGGGCAGGAUAGCAGGGUGGCGGCCGUCCACUCCACUCACCGCCCGAGUGCUCCCCAUCGCCAAAG